UACGUAGGGGGCAAGCGUUGUCCGGAUUCAUUGGGCGUAAAGCGCGGGCAGGCGGCCCGCUCAGUCGGCCGUGAAAGCGCCGGGCUCAACUCGGCGAGGUCGGGCGAUACUGGCGGGCUCGAGGCUGGUAGAGGGCGGUGGAAUUCCGGGUGUAGUGGUGGAAUGCGUAGAGCUCCGGAGGAACACCAGUGGCGAAGGCGGCUUUCUGGACAGAUACCGACGCUGAGGCACGAAAGCUAGGGGAGCAAACAGG
rnacentral:rRNA from 1 species